UUGAUUUCGUCUUCUGUUAGAUAUCUUGAUAAAGACCAUUCCAAAUGAUUUCGAGUGAUGAGAUUAAAUCAAUUUGGGUCUUUAGAAUCCGAAAAACUCUAAGAUAAUUGAAGUGUAAUUUUUGAUAUUAAUGAUUUUAUAUUUGUUUGUGUGACAGCAACUCAAGCAAAUUGUUUGAAAGACUUGAUUGAUUUUGGUAACUUAUUGAUACCUUAUUUCCGGAACAACCAGAAUGAAAUUACCUGUGCUGAGGCUGCUGACUUAUAUCUGAGAAUCAACAGGGAGAUAGUUUUUAAUAGAGGAACUGAAGAGAGAGAGAGGGAGUUAUGUGGUGACCUGUAAUCUCAUGUCGAAAUGGUGAAACACAUUGGGAAAAUUUUACUUUCCAAGAAAGGCGUGCUUUGGGUAGCUAUUUGAUUCUUCAGAACUAGAUAUCCCAGGCUGGUAGUACAUGCAUAUACCUGUCUUCAACUGCACUACAGAGCCUUGCAAUCCGAAGAAGAUCCAGCGUUUAUGUACAACUUCAGGCAAUUCGUACCAUCGGCUGCUCGUCUUUACUAAGCCUUCUCAUGGGGGUUUCUAUUCUGCCUGGUGUGGAUAAAAAACUUUGUGUUGACUAGAUAGAAGCGUUGUCAGUUUGACUGUUUUUGGUACUUUUCUGAGACAUUAUCCAGAAUGUUAUUGUUGUAAUCAGAUCGACUGUUAUUCAAAAUCAAUACUCUCCUGAGCAGCAGGGACUUUAGAACUGAUA